rnacentral:rRNA from 1 species
GAAGGGGGCUAGCGUUGUCCGGAUUUAUUGGGCGUAAAGAGCGUGUAGGCGGCCAGAUAGGUCCGUUGUGAAAACUCGAGGCUCAACCUCGAGACGCCGAUGGAAACCAUUUGGCUAGAGUCCGGAAGAGGAGAGUGGAAUUCCCGGUGUAGUGGUGAAAUGCGUAGAUAUCGGGAGGAACACCAGUGGCGAAGGCGACUUCCUGGCCUGUUCUUGACGCUGAGGCGCGAAAGCUAGGGGAGCAAACGGGAUUAGAUACCCCGGUAGUCCUAGCCGUAAACGAUGGACACUAGGUGUUGGUGGUAUCAACCCCGCCAGUGCCGAAGCUAACGCAUUAAGUGUCCCGCCUGGGGAGUACGGCCGCAAGGCUA